rnacentral:rRNA from 1 species
GUGGGGGAUAUUGCACAAUGGGGGAAACCCUGAUGCAGCGACGCCGCGUGAAGGAAGACGUACUUCGGUAUGUAAACUUCUAUCAGCAGGGAAGAAGAUGACGGUACCUGACUAAGAAGCCCCGGCUAACUACGUGCCAGCAGCCGCGGUAAUACGUAGGGGGCAAGCGUUAUCCGGAUUUACUGGGUGUAAAGGGAGCGUAGACGGAAUGGCAAGUCUGAAGUGAAAUCCUGCGGCUUAACUGCAGAAUUGCUUUGGAAACUGUCAAUCUGGAGUGUUGGAGAGGUAAGCGGAAUUCCUGGUGUAGCGGUGAAAUGCGUAGAUAUCAGGAAGAACACCGGAGGCGAAGGCGGCUUACUGGACAAUAACUGACGUUGAGGCUCGAAAGCGUGGGAAGCAAACAGGAUUAGAUACCCCUGUAGUCC